GGCCAUCCCGGCUUACCAACCCGAUGCAAACUGCGAAUACCGGAGAAUGUUAUCACGGGAGACACACGGCGGGUGCUAACGUCCGUCGUGAAGAGGGAAACAACCCAGACCGCCAGCUAAGGUCCCAAAGUCAUGGUUAAGUGGGAAACGAUGUGGGAAGGCCCAGACAGCCAGGAUGUUGGCUUAGAAGCAGCCAUCAUUUAAAGAAAGCGUAAUAGCUCACUGGUCGAGUCGGCCUGCGCGGAAGAUGUAACGGGGCUAAACCAUGCACCGAAGCUGCGGCAGCGACACUGUGUGUUGUUGGGUAGGGGAGCGUUCUGUAAGCCUGUGAAGGUGUGUCGUGAGGCAUGCUGGAGGUAUCAGAAGUGCGAAUGCUGACAUAAGUAACGAUAAAGCGGGUGAAAAGCCCGCUCGCCGGAAGACCAAGGGUUCCUGUCCAACGUUAAUCGGGGCAGGGUGAGUCGACCCCUAAGGCGAGGCCGAAAGGCGUAGUCGAUGGGAAACGGGUUAAUAUUCCCGUACUUGGUGUUACUGCGAAGGGGGGACGGAGAAGGCUAUGUUGGCCGGGCGACGGUUGUCCCGGUUUAAGCGUGUAGGUGUGUGUUCCAGGUAAAUCCGGUUCACUUUAACACUGAGGCGUGACGACGAGGCACUACGGUGCUGAAGCAACAAAUGCCCUGCUUCCAGGAAAAGCCUCUAAGCAUCAGGUAACAUCAAAUCGUACCCCAAACCGACACAGGUGGUCAGGUAGAGAAUACCAAGGCGCUUGAGAGAACUCGGGUGAAGGAACUAGGCAAAAUGGUGCCGUAACUUCGGGAGAAGGCACGCUGACACGUAGGUGAAGUGAUUUACUCAUGGAGCUGAAGUCAGUCGAAGAUACCAGCUGGCUGCAACUGUUUAUUAAAAACACAGCACUGUGCAAACACGAAAGUGGACGUAUACGGUGUGACGCCUGCCCGGUGCCGGAAGGUUAAUUGAUGGGGUCAGCGCAAGCGAAGCUCCUGAUCGAAGCCCCGGUAAACGGCGGCCGUAACUAUAACGGUCCUAAGGUAGCGAAAUUCCUUGUCGGGUAAGUUCCGACCUGCACGAAUGGCGUAAUGAUGGCCAGGCUGUCUCCACCCGAGACUCAGUGAAAUUGAACUCGCUGUGAAGAUGCAGUGUACCCGCGGCAAGACGGAAAGACCCCGUGAACCUUUACUAUAGCUUGACACUGAACAUUGAGCCUUGAUGUGUAGGAUAGGUGGGAGGCUUUGAAGUGUGGACGCCAGUCUGCAUGGAGCCGACCUUGAAAUACCACCCUUUAAUGUUUGAUGUUCUAACGUGGACCCGUUACCCGGGUUGCGGACAGUGUCUGGUGGGUAGUUUGACUGGGGCGGUCUCCUCCUAAAGAGUAACGGAGGAGCACGAAGGUUGGCUAAUCCUGGUCGGACAUCAGGAGGUUAGUGCAAUGGCAUAAGCCAGCUUGACUGCGAGCGUGACGGCGCGAGCAGGUGCGAAAGCAGGUCAUAGUGAUCCGGUGGUUCUGAAUGGAAGGGCCAUCGCUCAACGGAUAAAAGGUACUCCGGGGAUAACAGGCUGAUACCGCCCAAGAGUUCAUAUCGACGGCGGUGUUUGGCACCUCGAUGUCGGCUCAUCACAUCCUGGGGCUGAAGUAGGUCCCAAGGGUAUGGCUGUUCGCCAUUUAAAGUGGUACGCGAGCUGGGUUUAGAACGUCGUGAGACAGUUCGGUCCCUAUCUGCCGUGGGCGCUGGAGAACUGAGGGGGGCUGCUCCUAGUACGAGAGGACCGGAGUGGACGCAUCACUGGUGUUCGGGUUGUCAUGCCAAUGGCACUGCCCGGUAGCUAAAUGCGGAAGAGAUAAGUGCUGAAAGCAUCUAAGCACGAAACUUGCCCCGA
rnacentral:rRNA from 1 species